rnacentral:rRNA from 1 species
GAUGAACGCUCGCUACAGGCUUAACACAUGCAAGUCGAGGGACCGGCGCACGGGUGAGUAACACGUAUCCAACCUGCCCUUUACUCGGGGCUAGCCUUUCGAACGAAUGAUUAAUACCCGAUAUAAAGGAUGGGGAGGCGGUCCAUUAGGUUGUUGGUGGGGUAACGGCCCACCAAGCCUUCGAUGGAUAGGGGUUCUGAGAGGAAGGUCCCCCACAUUGGAACUGAGACACGGGCCAAACUCCGACGGGAGGCAGCAGUGAGGAAUAUUGGGCAAUGGGCGGUAGCCUGAAACAGCCAAGUAGCGUGAAGGAUGAAUGCUUAUGGGUCGUAAACUUCUUUUAUAUAAGAAUAUGUAUUAUAUGAGUAAGGAUCGGCUAACGCCGUGCCAGCCGCCGCGGUAAUAC